AAAAUGCAGUGGGGCUGGUGUCUCCUAAGAAAGAAAAUGUCCUAAAUGCUCUCUUCCAUAGAAAAGGAAGACACACAGAGGAGCCCUGACUGUAUAAUAAAGGUGAAAUAUGUUAGUGCUCAAAACUUGUACUGUGCAGUGGCUGCCCAAUGGCUACAGAAGACAUCAGUAAGAAACCAACAGCCAAUUAAAUCAGAACAAAUGACUAGCUGAUCUCUAAGGUUGCUUCUGACUCUACCGUCUAAGAUUACUCAGUUACAUCGAUGGCAAAAUGAUGAAAGGAUUUGAGCCCAAACAGAACCAUAGGAAGAUUUCCUCAGGGACCAGGGCUGAUGGAGCAGCAUCCACCAUGCGAGCAGAAAGGCAAGCCUUGCAACACUCGGCCUUCAGAGCUUCAGCUUCCUGUCCAUGUGCACCUGGCUGGCCAAAGCAGUCAUAAGACCACGCCUAAUUCAAGGGAAUUGUGGGGAAGUGCAAUUCCAACAAGUGCCUGGAGGGCAAGCAAGCUGUGGAGUGCCCUGUGAACACUACAAUGUCCUUCUGACCACUACAGCCUCUUUCUAGGUUUUGCUCAUAUCUUUGCAUUAUUUCCAAAAUUCAUUUUAGUGAUAACUUAUAGUAUAGCGUAAUAUAUGUAAUUAUACAGAUAUCAUUAUAUAAAUUAUGAUAUAUAUUGUAACCAGAAGGAAACAAAACCUGGUCUCCCCAUCAAAGGACAUCUCCAGCAUUCAGCCACAUGCUUCUUGCCCAUGGUUCAAGGAGAGCAGCACAUGGCUGCUCUGCCAACCAAUGAAUGAGACUGAGCAUCGCCUCUUCUCCUCACCUUCUCAAGUCCGGUCGAAUCUUGAGCCCAGAAAUUAGAAGAGCCCAACAGCAUAAAAAGACUUUCUGCCACCUGCUUUAUUUGAGGAGGUUAAAAAAAAUUGAUCUUGGCAUCAGAGGAAUACAAGACUCAAAAGGAA